UCCACCAACCUUGCUUUGCUUGGUUGAGAACGCUAAAACCUUUGUUCUGCCUACAUCUCCCAGAAUGCUGUGCAGUUCAGGAUCAGUUCGCUGUAACCUUACCAUGUGAUCGUGGCCAAGUUGCCAUCUGUGGGAGCUGCGAACAAGAUGGACUUCCAGCUGUAAGGUUGAGGCUGACUGCAGGUGGAGACUGUGACCUACUCAUGUGUUCAAACAAGCACUGGAGGUGGAAAGCAACAAGGGCUCUCAUCCCUGUUUUCACCACAGUGCCUCGUGUUGGCUGAUUGGGGCACCUGCAGCAUCAAGA